CCUACGGGCGGCAGCAGUGGGGAAUAUUGCACAAUGGGCGCAAGCCUGAUGCAGCCAUGCCGCGUGUGUGAAGAAGGCCUUCGGGCUGUAAAGCACUUUCAGCGGGGAGGAAGGCGUUAAGGUUAAUAACCUUGGCGAUUGACGUUACCCGCAGAAGAAGCACCGGCUAACUCCGUGCCAGCAGCCGCGGUAAUACGGAGGGUGCAAGCGUUAAUCGGAAUUACUGGGCGUAAAGCGCACGCAGGCGGUCUGUCAAGUCGGAUGUGAAAUCCCCGGGCUCAACCUGGGAACUGCAUUCGAAACUGGCAGGCUAGAGUCUUGUAGAGGGGGGUAGAAUUCCAGGUGUAGCGGUGAAAUGCGUAGAGAUCUGGAGGAAUACCGGUGGCGAAGGCGGCCCCCUGGACAAAGACUGACGCUCAGGUGCGAAAGCGUGGGGAGCAAACAGGAUUAGAUACCCUUGUAGUC
rnacentral:rRNA from 1 species